GAUGAUGUUGGCUAAAUAAUCUUGGAGACUUAUUUCAAAUUCAGAUUCUUUAUGUGCUCAACUCCGCCUAUGUUGUCUCAACAUAGCCGGUCCCAAGCCCGGGUAAAGGAGGAGGGUUGUGAUAGGCUUGGCGAGCCAAUGUUAAAACUCAGUCACUCUUAUGGAGAUGAAACCGAAAAGAUUUUCGUUGGGACGUAACCCUCUCAGUGACGCACCACAUUGGAACAUGGGUGUGGUGUCACAUAGGCAAGGGUCGGACCGUCACCCCCCGGUGGCGCGCCGUAUCUUGAUCUGGAUAUGGUGGCAAGUGAGCGAGGAUCGGGUCGUCGCAUCCUUAGUGGCACGCUACAUCCGCGCCCGGAUGAAGUGGAAAAUAAGCAAGGGUCUUUGCAUUUGACUUGACACGAGUGCGAAGGGUAAGGAAGCUAGCUGAGCCUAGGAGGAUCUGCUUAGGUAGCUACAACGUAGGGUCCCUAACAAGGAAGCUUCGGGAGCUAGUUGAUGUAGCGGUGAGGAGAGGUGUUAAUAUCCUUUGCAUCCAAGAAACCAAAUGGAGGGACAGAAGGCGGAGGAGGUGGAUGUACUGGCUUCAAGCUGUGGUACAUGGGGAUGGCUGCAAACAGAAAUGGUGUUGGCAUCUUUGAUCAACAAGAGCCUCAAGUAUGGAGUGGUAGACGUCAAGAGACGCGGGGACCGGAUUGUCCUGGUCAAGCUGGUAGUUGGGGACUUAGUUCUCAAUGUUAUCAGCGCAUAUGCCCCAGAAGUAGGCCACAAUGAGAACACCAAGAGGGAGUACUUGGAAGGCAUGGAGGACAUGGUUAGGAGUGUACCGAUUGGCGAGAAGCUCUUCAUAGGAGGAGACCUCAAUGGCCACAUGGGUACAUCUAACACAAUGUUUGAAGGGAUGUAUGGGGGCUUUGGCUAUGGCAUCAGGAAUCAAGGAGAAGAUGUCUUAAGCUUUGCUCUAGCCUACGACAUGGUCGUAGCUAACGCCCUUUUAAGAAGAGAGAAUCACAUUUAGUGACUUUUAGUAGUCGUCAACACUCUAGCUAGAUUGAUUUCAUCCUCUCGAGAAGAGAAGACAGGCAUCUAGUGACUUUUAGUAGUCGUCAACACUCUAGCUAGAUUGAUUUCAUCCUCUCGAGAAGAGAAGACAGACAUCUAGUGACUUUAGUAGUUGUCAACACUCUAGCUAGAUUGAUUUCAUCCUCUCGAGAAGAGAAGACAGGCGUGCAUGCCUAGACUGUAAGGUGAUACUUGGAGAGAGUGUUGUCCCUCAGCAUAAGCUUGUGGUUGCUGACUUCCGCUUUUGGAUUCGUGUCCAGCAGAAUAAGCGUGCCAAAGUCGCUAGAAUGAAGUGGUGGAAGCUCAAGGGGGAGGUAGCUCAGGCGCUCAAGGAGAGGGUCAUGAAGGAGGGCCCUUGGGAGGAACGAGGGCAUCCAGACAAUAAUAUGUGGAUGAAAACGGUGACUUGCAUUCGUAAGGUGGCCUCGGAGGAGUUUGGAGUGUCCAGGAGAAGUAGAAGCGAAGCUAAAGAUACCUGGUGGUGGAAUUACGAUGUCCAGAAGGCUAUCAAGGAGAAGAAAGAUCGUUUCAGACGCCUAUACGGCUAUACCUGGAUAGGAGUGCAGCCAACAUAGAGAAGUACAAGAUGGCGAAGAAAGCUGCAAAGCGAGCUGUCAGUGAAGCAUGGGGUCGGGCGUACGAGGACCUCUACCAGCGGUUAGAUAUGAAGGAAGGCGAAAGGGACGUCUAUAAGAUGGCCAAGAUCCGAGAGUGGAAGACGAGGGAUGUUGGCCAAGUCAAAUGCAUCAAGCGGAGUAGACCAACUCCUGCUGAAGGACGAGGAGAUUAAGCAUAGAUGGCAGGAAUAGUUCGACAAGCUGUUCAAUGGGCAGAAUGAGAGUUCUACCAUCGAACUGGACGACUCCUUUGAUGAUACCAGCAGGUGUUUUGUGCGGCGAUAGGAGUCUGAUGUCAAUUAGGCGUUAAAAAGGAUGAAAGGAGGCAAGGCGAUGGGCCUUGAUUGUAUCCCCACUGAGGUGUGGAGAGGCCUUGGGGACAUAGCGAUAAUAUGGCUAACCAAGCUUUUCAACCUCAUUUUUCGGGCAAACAAGAUGCCAGAAGAAUGGAGACGAAGAAUAUUAGUACCAAUCUUCAAGAACAAGGGGGGUGUUCAGAGUUGUACUAAUUACCAUGGAAUUAAGCUGGUGAGACAUACAAUGAAACUAUGGGAGAGAGUUAUUGAGCGCUGCUUAAGAAGAAUGACAAGCGUGACCAAAAAUCAGUUUGAUUUCAUGCCUGGGAGGUCAACCAUGGAGGCCAUUUUCUUGAUACAACAACUUAUGGAGAGAUACAGGGAGCAAAAGGACCUGCAUAUGGUGUUCAUUGACUUGUAGAAGGCCAACGAUAAUAUACUGUGGAAUGUCAUGUGGUGGGCCUUGGAGAAAGACAAAGUCCCAACAAAGUACAUUACCCUCAUGAAGGACAUGUACGAUAAUAUUGUGAUGGUGACACUGAUGACUUCUCGAUUAAAAUAGGACUGCACUAGGGGUCAGGUUUCAGCCCUUAUCUUUUUGCUUUGGUGAUGAAUGAGGUCACAAGGGAUAUACAAGGAGAUAUCCCAUGGUGUAUGCUCUUUACAGAUGAUGUGGUGCUAGUCGGCGAUAGUCGGACGGGGGUUAAUAGGAAGUUAGAGUUAUGGAGACAAACCUUGGAAUCGAAAGGUUUUAGGCUUAGUAUAACCAAAACCGAGUACAUGAGGUGCGGUUUCAGUAGGCAUGAGAAGGCGGAGGUUAGCCUUGAUGGGCAGGUGGUGUCUCAGAAGAACACCUUCGGAUAUUUGGGGUCAAUGUUGCAGAAGGAUGGGGGUAUUGAUGAGGAUGUGAACCAUUGAAUCAAAGUCGGAUGCAUGAAGUGGCGCCAAGCUUCUGGCAUUCUUUGCGCGGAAAAAUUUAUGCGAUGGCGAAGUAACAAAUCUAUAGGGCUUUGGUCAGGUAGGGUUGAAGGAAUCAAUUCUUGUCAGAACUUGGUACAUAUGGUGACAGCAUAGGGAGUUCGUUAAAGGGGAGCCGGUGGCCGUUCCUUCACGCACAGAGUUUGCAAUCCAAGCUUUGGCAAGCAAUUUUGGGGGAGCACUAACUAAAGCAGAACCACAUGAAAUUACAUGGACCAAGCCGCCAAAAAAUAUGUACAAGAUGGAUGUUGACGCUGCUUGCUUUCAUAAUUGGUCGGGAGGUGCUAUAGCAGGCACUUGCUGGCCCCUCCAAAAUCUUCUUGAUGCAACAACAGCCGAGGCGACGACCCUACAUGAUAGAAGGACUUGGGUGUGUUCCUGUUAUUACUGAAACUGAUUCGCUGGAACUUUUCAAAGCUUUCAACGAAACUAUUCAGGUGAGGACAGCGAUUCUCAGACUGCUUUCAGAUAGCUUUAGGAUUGGUGAAAUAUUGGUGCAACACUGCAAUCGGAGUUGUGAUUAUCCAGUGGUACAGUACGCAGAUGACACGAUCCUGGUGAUGCCUGCCUGUUCUGAUCAAGCUGCUCGAAUGAAAUCCAUCCUGGUGGAUUACACUACCUCUGUGGGGCUGCGGAUCAAUUUUCAUAAGUCCACCUUGAUACCUAUCAAUCUGGACCCGCAGCGAGCGGGAGAGCUUGCACAUAUCUUCGGUUGCACGGUUGGCUCCCUCCCCUUCGCCUAUCUUGGCCUCCCCAUGGGCACCACGAGGCCGUCACUGCUGGAACUCAUGCCAAUGGUGCAUGGGGUGGAGAGAAAACUAUCCACUGCCCUGUAUUUGAUGUCGUCCGAGGCCAAGCUCACAUUGGUCAAUUCAACCAUCACUUCGAUGCUGAUUUACGCCAUGUGCACGAUCAAGCUUCAUACGAAGGUAGUCGAGCAUCUUGAUAAGCUGCGCAGGUAUUGCUUGUGGGCCAAGAAUACUGAUGAUGGGGUCAAAAACAAUUCUCUUGCGGCAUGGGAGCUGGUUUGUCGACCCAAGGGUAAGGGUGGACUUGGUGUGAUUGAUGUCAAAACCCAGAACAUGGCCCUGCUCCUCAAACACCUCUUCAAGUUCUAUAAUCGGGAAGAUGUCCCCUAGGUGACGUUGAUCUGGGAUGCUUACUACACGAACAAAGUGCCUCAUAUGAUGAACCCGGUUGGUUCUUUCUGGUGGUGGGAUGUCAUGCAACUCAGCGACGUAUUCCGUGGGAUCACCAGGGUCAUAGUAGGGAAUGGUUCAUCUUCCCUGUUUUGGGAAGACGCCUGGUUUAGUGAUGAUCGAGACGCCCCGCUGAUGGAGAUCUUCUCCAGAGCCUUCUCCUUCUGCACUAAUGAGGACGUGUCUGUGGGUGGUGCGCUCGAGGCCACAAAUCAACGUCCCGCUGAUGGCGAGCAGCAAUGUUCUGAGGGAGGCCAAGCCACUGGAUGUUGUUGCGAUCCUGUGGUACAGAUGGGUGCCUGUGCUGCAGGCUGGAGUGUCGUGCUGCAAGUCUGGCGCGAUGCCCUCCACGCAUUGCUGCAUGCCAGCAGCCGAGAUACUCCACAGAGGCGCUUGUGCUGUAAGAGGUGACCAUCAGUGCUUCAAGGUUUGCCGCUGGUGCUGCAUGGACUGCCGCAAGAGGGCGCCGGCGGCGAUGCCACAUGCUGUUGCAGGGUGGUCGCAAGCAGUGCUACCAGGGGCGCUCGAUGUCUGCUGCAAGGGAGCAGUUGGUGGCUGCUGUUCUCGCCGGAGUUGUGCGUCGUCGCUAGCCCAUGCGCCCCCCUGUGCGAUGGGGGGAAGCAGUGUGGGGCUGGGGACUUUCGUUGUGUUUGCAUCACGCAGGGUUGCUGCUGAGCCAUGAGGGUGGGGGGCAAUGCAGCGUGAUCUGACGGUUAUACAAAAUGCAAUCCAACAAUGCGCAGGCGCCACAAGUAAAAGAUGAACGGUUGUCUCAAAACAAAACAAAAAAGUAAAAGAUCAACGGAAGCAUUUUCUCAGUCAAGAAAAAGCAGAAAAGAAUGGGUCCUCUGGAGCACAAUUGCACAAACCCCCCACUCUAAAUAAAAUGCACAACUUUCUUGAAUACCAAAUGGUGGCCUUGCUGCCAUGCAUGGUAGCUGCACGUAACAGUUUGGAUUCAGACAGAGUAGAAUUGUGAUUAUGAGAUGGACCCAUUGUCCUUUAUGGCCCGUUUGGAUCCACUAUAAUUGGACACAAUUCCUUCCAUGAACCGAGAAUUUAAACUACCCCUUGGUGAAGUACUCCUAUUAAAAGAACAGGCGACACUUUGGACAUGGAUACGAUCUCCAACAUGCAAUUUCAUCAUUACUUUCGAAAUCAAUAUGAUAGUAUGAAAUGAAAAUUAUGAAAACAUGGUUUGUGAGCCAUGCCAUCUUACAAUAUCAUUUUCACUUGCCUAUGUAAGUUGGACUACAUCAUUUUCUAAAACGGUCAUGUAUUUCUGAACAGAGUAUUAACAGAUGCUCAACAAUGUAUGAAUGUAGUUACUCUUGCAAUUAUCAUUUAAAAUUCUGCAGGCCAUAUUUUGUACUCUAGGGACAGCUUAUCACACCCUAGGUGCUUUGUUACCACGAAGUUUCGGCACUUCGCAGUUUGAACUGGUUUCCACUAGAACCAAAAAAUUAUUGAAUGUAACAAGUGUGCCAAUUACUCCGGUCCUCGGGAAAGAAUAGUAUAAAGCAAAUGCCAUUUAUAGUAUAAAGCAAAAAAUAUUUUUAUAUAUGCCAAGUAUCUCUAUUUAGAGACAUUAAAACUAUGCAGUUUUCCAGCCCUCUCAGGCCAUUGGCGUUAACAGUCGUUGGAUCCUUAGUUUGGUGCAUUUGUGGCCGUCAGAUUUGCUCUCGAUCGCCCUUAAUCAGCCCCAGUUUGCUGUGAUCGAGCGCCAACAGUUAUGGGCCGCUGCUCUGGUCGCAUUUUUCCGCUUCUAUGGUAAACUCGGCCUAAUGGGCCUUUGCACACUUCCGGGCCUCUACCAGCGUAAGUGUUUUUUUUUAAACAAAAAAAAUGGUGUCGAUCGGCGGAGUCGCGUGCCUCCCAUCCCUUCGCCUGGCGGCCUCCUGAGGCUACCGACUUGGGUGACCGCUGAUGCCGGGCCAGAGCAACGGAUCCAUGGAGACUGCGCUGGUUCAGGCAGCGCCUCGCCUGGGGUCCGCUCGAUUUAAUCGACCCGUUGUGUUGCACGGCGCGGCAGGAUGGUCUGUUGCAGAAAACAUGGCAUGCGCCCUUUGAAGUUCUAUCGCCAACCCGACGAUGAUUGAUUGGGAGUUUAAUCAGUCAUUACUAUCAAUCGGUGCGCGAGCUGCUGGUUACUGUAGGUCAGUUACAAUUGGUAUUCAUAAUUUUUAUUCAAUAUAUGGACGCCCAUAUAAUCCCAACCUUUCCACUGCAUGUUCCGCAAAUCAUUCUCUACCAACUAUGGGUGAUUUUUAGGUCUACAAUUCAUUCCAAUUCUCUCUCCUUCCUGCAUCUCCUCUUCCCCCAAUUCUUCAUCUUUAGAAUUUGAUUUGUUUAUGAUGUUCUUUGUGCUGACAAAAAAAAUGCAGGUUCUGUACACGGACAAAUUCGAGCAACAUACUUUCUGUUCUUGUUGCAUCCUACUCACCUAGGACAUCACCUUUCCUGGUUGACUUCUGGAUCGAAUUGAAACUGGGAUGUUGGGUUUCUUGAUUUUCUCAUGACAGUCGUUUUCCUGCCAGAUCUUAUAUUUGCCAAGACCUGCGUGCGGUGAGAUCAGUCAUGGAUGGUUUCAGUCUAUGCAUCUUCACGGCUGGGAGCAUGAAAAACCUUCACUACGAAAGGUAUUCAAGAACAGCGGUGUUAAACUGUUAAUCGCAGGAAUUAGGCGAACUGGUUAGUUUGUCGUGCGAACACAUGGAAAACCAAGCGGCCUUUUUUAUGACAAUUACAAACAAGCAAAAAAAAAGGUAACAUUUCCUUCCUUAUUUUUUAUCCAGGAUGGAGAAACUCAAAGUACUGAUGGGACACAGUAGGUGUCCGGUUUGGUCGAAGCUCUGAUUUAUACGAUAGACGGUGCGUGGGAGAAACAGAAAGAUUGAAAUCUGUAGAUAGCUUUGGCAGAUGAAGCUGACUUGCACUCGCCAGUUGUGUUACCAAAUGCCAUGCCAUAUAUUCUAUUUUUUCUGUUUUGUAGGCUUACUGCGCCCUGAUUCUUCAAGAGGAGUUCAUGUGUGCUAUUAAGACAACAUAUUGUAGAUCUGUAAGCAAAUAUUACAAGCACAUUUAAACAGGAAACUACUAUAAUGGCUUACCUCCUACACAUAUGUGUACAUGCAGCUACAGGGAAGUCAAAGCAGGUCGUGACAUGUUUGUCCAACGAAGUCUAACACACAUAGAAUUCAGGCUAAGAAGACGAG